GUGCAGCAGGCGCGAAACCUCCGCAAUACACGAAAGUGUGACGGGGCCAUCCCGAGUGCCGUCCGCUGAGGACGGCUUUUCCCCAGUGUACACAGCUGGGGGAAUAAGGAGAGGGCAAGCCUGGUGUCAGCCGCCGCGGUAAUACCAGCUCUCCGAGUGGUGGGGACGCUUAUUGGGCCUAAAGCAUCCGUAGCCGGCUGGGCAAGUCCUCCGUUAAAUCCAACGAUUCAAUCGUUGGGCUGCGGGGGAUACUGUCCGGCUUGGGGGCGGGAGAGGCCGACGGUAUUCCCGGGGUAGGGGUGAAAUCCUAUAAUCCCGGGAGGACCACCAGUGGCGAAGGCUGUCGGCUAGAACGCGCCCGACGGUGAGGGAUGAAAGCUGGGGGAGCGAACCGGAUUAGAUA
rnacentral:rRNA from 1 species